GACGAACGCUGGCGGCGUGCCUAAUACAUGCAAGUAGGACGCAGUUGCGAACGGGUGAGUAACGCGUAGGUAACUACCUAUUAGAGGGGGAUAACUAUUGGAAACGAUAGCUAAUACCGCAUACUAGUAGAUGGACCUGCGUUGUAUUAGCUAGUCGGGAAGGUAAAGGCCUACCUAGGCAAAGAUACAUAGCCGACCGGGGAGUGUUAUCUGCCACACUUGGACUGGGACAAGGCUCAGACUCCUACUGGAGGCAGCAGUAGGGAAUCGUCGGCAAUGGGGGGAACACUGACCGAGCAACGCCGCGGGAGUGAAGAAGGUUUUCGGAUCGUAAAGCUCUGUUGUUAAGGAAGCGGUACUUAACCAGAAAGGGACGGCUAACUACGUGCCAGCCGCCGCGGUAAUUC
rnacentral:rRNA from 1 species